GAUGAACGCUGGCGGCGUGCCUAAUACAUGCAAGUCGAGCGAACGGACGAGAAGCUUGCUUCUCUGAUGUUAGCGGCGGACGGGUGAGUAACACGUGGAUAACCUACCUAUAAGACUGGGAUAACUUCGGGAAACCGGAGCUAAUACCGGAUAAUAUUUUGAACCGCAUGGUUCAAAAGUGAAAGACGGUCUUGCUGUCACUUAUAGAUGGAUCCGCGCUGCAUUAGCUAGUUGGUAAGGUAACGGCGUACCAAGGCAACGAUGCAUAGCCGACCUGAGAGGAUGAUCGGCCACACUGGAACUGAGACACGGUCCAGACUCCUACGGGAGGCAGCAGUAGGGAAUCUUCCGCAAUGGGCGAAAGCCUGACGGAGCAACGCCGCGUGAGUGAUGAAGGUCUUCGGAUCGUAAAACUCUGUUAUUAGGGAAGAACAUAUGUGUAAGUAACUGUGCACAUCUUGACGGUACCUAAUCAGAAAGCCACGGCUAACUACGUG
rnacentral:rRNA from 1 species